GCAUACGUAGCUUAAUUGGUUAAAGCAACCGACUUAUAAUCGGCUGAUUGAAGGUUCAAGCCCGUCCGUGUGCGCCA
rnacentral:tRNA from 1 species